rnacentral:rRNA from 1 species
UACGUAGGGGCCGAGCGUUGUCCGGAGUUAUUGGGCGUAAAGCGCGCGCAGGCGGCCUCGCGCGCCCGACGUGAAAGCCCCCGGCUUAACCGGGGAGGGUCGUUGGGGACGGCGGGGCUUGAGGGCGGGAGAGGUCGGUGGAAUUCCCGGUGUAGUGGUGAAAUGCGUAGAGAUCGGGGGGAACACCUGUGGCGAAGGCGGCCGACUGGGCCGACCCUGACGCUGAGGCGCGAAGGCGUGGGGAGCGAACGGG